rnacentral:rRNA from 1 species
UCGGCGUGCCUAAUACAUGCAAGUAGAACGCUGAAGAGAGGAGCUUGCUCUUCUUGGAUGAGUUGCGAACGGGUGAGUAACGCGUAGGUAACCUGCCUUGUAGCGGGGGAUAACUAUUGGAAACGAUAGCUAAUACCGCAUAACAAUAGGUGACACAUGUCAUUUAUUUGAAAGGGGCAAUUGCUCCACUACAAGAUGGACCUGCGUUGUAUUAGCUAGUAGGUGAGGUAACGGCUCACCUAGGCGACGAUACAUAGCCGACCUGAGAGGGUGAUCGGCCACACUGGGACUGAGACACGGCCCAGACUCCUACGGGAGGCAGCAGUAGGGAAUCUUCGGCAAUGGGGGCAACCCUGACCGAGCAACGCCGCGUGAGUGAAGAAGGUUUUCGGAUCGUAAAGCUCUGUUGUAAGUCAAGAACGAGUGUGAGAGUGGAAAGUUCACACUGUGACGGUAGCUUACCAGAAAGGGACGGCUAACUACGUGCCAGCAGCCGCGGUAAUACGUAGGUCCCGAGCGUUGUCCGGAUUUAUUGGGCGUAAAGCGAGCGCAGGCGGUUUGAUAAGUCUGAAGUUAAAGGCUGUGGCUCAACCAUAGUUCGCUUUGGAAACUGUCAAACUUGAGUGCAGAAGGGGAGAGUGGAAUUCCAUGUGUAGCGGUGAAAUGCGUAGAUAUAUGGAGGAACACCGGUGGCGAAAGCGGCUCUCUGGUCUGUAACUGACGCUGAGGCUCGAAAGCGUGGGGAGCGAACAGGAUUAGAUACCCUGGUAGUCCACGCCGUAAACGAUGAGUGCUAGGUGUUGGAUCCUUUCCGGGAUUCAGUGCCGCAGCUAACGCAUUAAGCACUCCGCCUGGGGAGUACGACCGCAAGGUUGAAACUCAAAGGAAUUGACGGGGGCCCGCACAAGCGGUGGAGCAUGUGGUUUAAUUCGAAGCAACGCGAAGAACCUUACCAGGUCUUGACAUCCCGAUGCUAUUUCUAGAGAUAGAAAGUUACUUCGGUACAUCGGUGACAGGUGGUGCAUGGUUGUCGUCAGCUCGUGUCGUGAGAUGUUGGGUUAAGUCCCGCAACGAGCGCAACCCCUAUUGUUAGUUGCCAUCAUUCAGUUGGGCACUCUAGCGAGACUGCCGGUAAUAAACCGGAGGAAGGUGGGGAUGACGUCAAAUCAUCAUGCCCCUUAUGACCUGGGCUACACACGUGCUACAAUGGUUGGUACAACGAGUUGCGAGUCGGUGACGGCAAGCUAAUCUCUUAAAGCCAAUCUCAGUUCGGAUUGUAGGCUGCAACUCGCCUACAUGAAGUCGGAAUCGCUAGUAAUCGCGGAUCAGCACGCCGCGGUGAAUACGUUCCCGGGCCUUGUACACACCGCCCGUCACACCACGAGAGUUUGUAACACCCGAAGUCGGUGAGGUAACCUUUUGGAGCCAGCCGCCUAAGGUGGGAUAGAUGAUUGG